rnacentral:rRNA from 1 species
GGCUGGAUUGGUACCAGUUAGACUGGGGGCGAAAGUGAACGUUGCGGGGGCGGUAAGUUGCUUGAGAGAACUGGCAGCGGAACGUUUAGGAUUUCAGGAGACAGUGUAGGUCUAGGGGCCGGGAGUGGUGAGAGGUACUGCUCGGGUAGGUGUGAAAUCUUGUAAUCCUGGAAGGACUACCAGGACCGAAGGCGUCUCACCAGAACGGACCGACGGCAAGGGACGAAAGCUAGGGGCACGAACCGGAUUAGAUACCCGCGUAGUC